CACGUAGGGGCGAGCGUUGUCCGGAAUUACUGGGCGUAAAGGGCGCGCAGGCUGUUAUGCGAGUCUGCUGUGAAAUGUACCGGCUCAACCGGUGCCUUGCGGCGGAUACUGCAUAGCUGGAGUACUGGAGAGGGAAGUGGAAUUCCCGGUGUAGCGGUGAAAUGCGUAGAUAUCAGGAGGAACACCGAUGGCGAAGGCAGGUCUCUGGGCAGUAACUGACGCUGAGGAGCGAAAGCAUGGGUAGCGAACAGGAUUA
rnacentral:rRNA from 1 species